CCCACACUCUGUGGGGUCCGCCAAGGCGACCCUUUCUCGCCGUUCCUGUUUAACAUGGUGGCCGAUGCCCUCGCGGCCAUUCUUGACAAAGCCAAAUCGGCCGGCCACAUUCACGGCGUGGUCCCACACCUUGUAGGAGGGGGGGUCUCCCUCCUACAAUAUGCCGACGACACCAUAAUAAUGGUUGAGGGCUCCGAGUCCGAUAUUGCCAACCUGAAGUUCCUCCUCCUCUGCUUCCAACGGAUGUCCGGUCUGACCAUCAACUUUGAUAAGAGCGAAGUGAUGGUGCUGGGAUACCCACCGAUGGAGGCCCAGGGCAUUGCGGACCGGCUUAAUUGCCGACUGGGUUCUUUCCCCACGACCUAUCUGGAGAUCCCCAUUAGUGACUCUCGCCUCACCGUAGCAGACCUCCGCCCUUCCGUGACCCGGAUGCAGCACCGAGUCGAGCCCUGGAAGGGCCGGUGGCUCUCGAAGGCGGCGCGGGUAAUCCUCAUCAACUCCUCGAUGGCUAGCCUCCUCUGGUUCCUCAUGAGCUUCUAUAGACUCCAUGAGACGCUUCACCAGGAGGUGGCCAAAUAUCAGUCCAGAUAA
rnacentral:rRNA from 1 species